rnacentral:rRNA from 1 species
CCUACGGGAGGCAGCAGUGAGGAAUAUUGGUCAAUGGCCGGAAGGCUGAACCAGCCAUGCCGCGUGAAGGUCAGUGCCCUAUGGGCGUUAAACUUCUUUUGUGCGGGAGCAAUAAUGGUCACGUGUGGCCAGACGAGAGUACCGUACGAAUAAGCAUCGGCUAACUCCGUUCCAGCAGCCUCGUUAAUACGGGGGAUGCAAGCGUUCUCCGGAUUUAUUUGGUUUUAAGGGUGCGUAGGCUGUGAUGUUGGUCAGCGGUGAAAUGCCCCCGCUCACCGGGGUGAAGUGCCAUUGAUACUGCCUGGCUGGAAUGCGGAUGCCGUGGGAGGAAUGUGUGGUGUAGCGGUGAAAUGCAGAGAUAUCACACAGAACACCGAUUGCGAAGGCAUCUCACGAAUCCGCGAUUGACGCUGAUGCACGAAAGCGUGGGUAUCAAACAGGAUUAGAUACCCGAGUAGUC